rnacentral:rRNA from 1 species
GACGAACCGAGCGAACGUUGUUCGGAAUCACUGGGCUUAAAGGGUGCGUAGGCGGCCAUGUAAGUGAGAUGUGAAAUCCCUCGGCUCAACCGAGGAAGUGCAUUUCAUACUGCAUGGCUUGAGGGAGACAGGGGUAAGCGGAACUGAUGGUGGAGCGGUGAAAUGCGUUGAUAUCAUCAGGAACACCGGUGGCGAAAGCGGCUUACUGGGUCUCUUCUGACGCUGAGGUACGAAAGCUAGGGGAGCGAACGGG